GACGACCAGUCACAUUGGGAGUGAGACACGGCCCAGACUCCUACGGGAGGCAGCAGUGGGGAAUCUUGGACAAUGGGGGCAACCCUGAUCCAGCGAUGCCGCGUGAGUGAAGAAGGCCUUCGGGUCGUAAAGCUCUUUAGGCUGGGAAGAAGGUAUAUUGGGGACAAUCCAGUAUAUUUGACGGUACCAGCAGAAUAAGCACCGGCAAACUCUGUGCCAGCAGCCGCGGUAAUACAGAGGGUGCGAACGUUAAUCGGAGUUACUGGGCGUAAAGGGCGCGUAGGCGGUUGUAUGUGUGUGGUGUGAAAGCCCCGGGCUUAACCUGGGAAGUGCAUCGCAAACUAUAUAACUAGAGUAGAUGAGAGGGUGGCGGAAUUUCCGGUGUAGCGGUGAAAUGCGUAGAGAUCGGAAGGAACGUCAAUGGCGAAGGCAGCCACCUGGCAUCAUACUGACGCUGAGGCGCGAAAGCGUGGGGAGCGAACAGGAUUAGAUACCCUGGUAGUCCACGCUGUAAACGAUGAGGACUAGAUGUUGGUAGGGGAACCUAUCGGUAUCGAAGCUAACGCGAUAAGUCUUCCGCCUGGGAAGUACGGCCGCAAGGUUGAAACUCAAAGGAAUUGACG
rnacentral:rRNA from 1 species